rnacentral:rRNA from 1 species
GUGGGGAAUUUUGGACAAUGGGCGCAAGCCUGAUCCAGCAAUGCCGCGUGCAGGAAGAAGGCCUUCGGGUUGUAAACUGCUUUUGUACGGAACGAAAAGGCUCUGGUUAAUACCUGGGGCUCAUGACGGUACCGUAAGAAUAAGCACCGGCUAACUACGUGCCAGCAGCCGCGGUAAUACGUAGGGUGCAAGCGUUAAUCGGAAUUACUGGGCGUAAAGCGUGCGCAGGCGGAUUUGUAAGACAGGCGUGAAAUCCCCGGGCUCAACCUGGGAAUGGCGCUUGUGACUGCAAGGCUGGAGUGCGGCAGAGGGGGAUGGAAUUCCGCGUGUAGCAGUGAAAUGCGUAGAUAUGCGGAGGAACACCGAUGGCGAAGGCAAUCCCCUGGGCCUGCACUGACGCUCAUGCACGAAAGCGUGGGGAGCAAACAGGAUUAGAAACCCCGGUAGUCC